GUAUUUCUCAGGAAAAAAAGAAUUGGAAGAAACUUAAGAGGUCUGUUAAUGCCAGUACCUAAACGUGACAUUUAACAUGGCAUGGAAGCUAUGCUUUGAAUAAACACUUGAGAAAAGGAAUUACAUAAUUUCUUUUUUGUUGUAUGGAUGGCUUUGGAUUAUACAGAGCUUAACAUUUAUAUAAAACACCAGUCUGAGACUGAUGAAGUGAAAACCUUUUUAUUAUAAAAUAAAAAUUGGAAGAAUGGCAUUUUAUUACAGUAUAGUUAAGAGAUUGGCUAAGGCAGUAAAUAAAACUUAGAAAUGCUCAAAUUUAUUGUAAAUUGCUUUUAUAAUCAUUGAUAUAUAAAGCAUGCUACUGCUAAUCAAUUAGUUUUAUGUAUUAAGACCUAUCAGCAUGUCUUUUUUUUAGUAUCUGGUUGACUUAAACAUGAUGUUCUCUGUACCAUUUAACAUUUUCAAGACAUAUUCUCCCCAAGCAAAUUCUGUUGGAACCAAGUGUUUCCAGUUCUAGAAGUUUACUUCUAGAGUCUUCAUAUGAAAUUUACAGUUGGGCUUUCAUAGGGUUUUAAUUUGCACUGAAUCCUUCCUUCUGAAAGAUGACUUAUGUUUAAAGUAUAAUGUAGCAGUGCUUUUGUCUUACAAUUAAACUCUUACAGCACUCA
rnacentral:lncRNA from 1 species